rnacentral:rRNA from 1 species
UACGUAGGGGGCAAGCGUUGUCCGGAUUUAUUGGGCGUAAAGAGCGUGUAGGCGGCCAGACAGGUCUGCUGUGAAAACUCGAGGCUCAACCUCGAGACGCCGGUGGAAACCGUCUGGCUAGAGUCCGGAAGAGGAGAGUGGAAUUCCUGGUGUAGCGGUGAAAUGCGCAGAUAUCAGGAAGAACACCCGUGGCGAAGGCGGCUCUCUGGAACGCAACUGACGCUGAGACGCGAAAGCGUGGGGAGCAAACAGG